UCCCUGCACUAAAGCAACAAACGUCCCUCUGCAAAGAUGCAAAAAAUGUUCCAGUGAAACGAGCUUUAACUGUCACCUUUCUGACUAACUCAGCUAAUUUCAUAGAGAAAAUGUAUCAGAACAAGGUUUUCAUUUCAAGUGCAAAAUGGGGAAAAAUGUAUUCCUGUGUGGGCAGUAUUUUUAUUUACUAUUCUAUAUUGUUCCCAGCUUGAGAAUGUUAGCAGUAAAAUAAACUUACCGACCCUAAUAAAUUAGUAAGAGCCAAAAAAGCUGCAGUUAAUGAUGUUCCUGCAUUCAUUAUACAUAUUUAAAAUGGUUAAAUUUUUCCAACAGAUUGGAAUAAAGCUACUUUAGCCACACACAAGCAUCUGAGUUGCAUCACGUUUCAUUCCCACUGGUAUUUGAAGGCUGAAUCUUCUGUGGAUAGAUUUGUCAUCAAUAAAUCUUUAACCACUUGCCUGACGUAGAAUAAGGACUUACAGCACAGGUUGUCAAUGAUAUGACUGCUUCAAGGAUUCAAGGCUCAAGCAUGUCAGCACAAGGAUUCUGAUGGUCCCGUGGCGUGGAAGUGGAUUGAUAGAUUUUGUGAAGAUAAAGGGGUGGCUAAUCCUCCUCAAGUCUCCAUUCUUUAACACCUGCAACCUGCAACAGAACCUCAAGUUUAAUACUAACAGUUUGCAGAGUCACUUGAUCCUCUAUUUAAGGAAGACAAGAGAAGAAAGACAAGGAUGUGGCCUAAUGCUGUACAAUUUACAGGACAUAUGUGAGCGGAGUUCCACUAAAUAAAAUAAAAUACUUAUCACAAUUGCAUGAUAUGUAAAUGAAUGCAUGUUCCUUGCUCACUUGUGUGUGUUAUUUGAAUUUAAAGUGUGAACAAUGACUGUUUAACUGUUCUGCUACUGAACUGCUUGAGCAUCUAACAACACGUGAUAUGGCUUACUCUAAAUAAACUCACAAUACAACAUUUCUGUAAAAAGCUUGGCAUUCACUGAGGUCACCUUCUGCAUAUCGACAGAGUCCAAGUUCACUUUAGUUAGUUUAGAUCAUAUUCCAUACAGUUGGAGACAAGAUAUUCAAACAAAGGUCUGGAAAAACCACAAAUCUAUCAAUAUACAGGGGAAAGCACUGUACAAUGCAUAAUGAACUCUGUACAAUGCAUAAUUAUCCAAAAAGUCUAAUCCCUAAUGCAGAUAUUGUCCUUUAUAUUGCACUUUAUUUGUACCAACAUAAUACAAACUAGCAAUCAAUCUUCCAUGGUAGAAUGUCAAUACAAGGCUAGAGAACUGUAGCACGUUUUAAAAUAUUGUUAUUUGUUAUUAGCAAUUGAUGACAUUUACUAUACUGAGAACAUCCAUCUGCUAAAAAUUACAUGUCAUUUUCAGUAUUUGUCAGCCCUGCUCGUUUAGUCAUUUAGAAAUACACUGUAUACUAUUUAUUUUUCACUUUACAAUAUGCUCAGUUUCUCAGAAUUUUGCACUUUUGGCCUUGCUCAGUGCAAAACAGAUUACAAACAUGAAAAACAGAAAUGGUAUUUUGUGGGUAAACAUAGAAUAUUGGCAGGAUUCCAAAUGUAUACUGUUUCAAGGGAAACUGACCUAUAGAGCAAAGCUUCAACUACUUCAACUAAAAAAUAUCAAUUAAACUUAUAAUGGAUACAUCAACAGCCCAGUGGGGUACAGCAGUUUUACCUCUUGCCUUGGAAUAAUAUCAUGCAUGAACCAAAAAUUAUUGUAUGAUACUGCAAAUUAGAACAGAUUUUUUUGUUUCUUUUUUUGUAAUGAAUAGACAAUUACAUUCCAUAAAUUCAAACCAGUCUGGGUGUUUGUACUUCCUCUCAAAAUAAGUUGCUAUGGUUAUAUAUAUGGUUAUACUGCACCAGCAACCAGCUAGAAUGGGAUGGAUGCAGUCAAUGGCUGGAGGACUUUUGUUAUUGGGUGGGUUUUUUUUGCUUGCUGAUGUAUGGCAGCAGUUUGGGGUAAUGUGUGAGACUGAAGUGUUAAGUUAAUGGGGACUGGAAUUAGGGCCAUUAUAUGCCUUGUUUGGUCCUUGAUGACCAUGUCUGAACAAAAUGCAUUUGUGAAUAGUUUCAACCGAUCGAAUAGAUUUUUCCACCUAUUGACUCCAAAAGGUUUCUAGGGGGUCCUCCAUAGGCUAAAACAGCAAUUCGGCAGGUUUUAGAUG